rnacentral:rRNA from 1 species
UACGUAGGGAGCAAGCGUUGUCCGGAAUCAUUGGGCGUAAAGCGCGCGUAGGUGGCUCUAUAAGUCCGUUGUGAAAGUCCAGGGCUCAACCCUGGAAAGCCGGUGGAUACUGUCGGGCUAGAGUCCGGAAGAGGCGAGUGGAAUUCCUGGUGUAGCGGUGGAAUGCGCAGAUAUCAGGAGGAACACCGAUGGCGAAGGCAGCUCGCUGGGACGGUACUGACGCUGAGGUGCGAAAGCGUGGGGAGCGAACAGG